AUGUAGGAGAAAUCGACUGGGAAAAUUACCACAAGUAGCAAAGGGUUGAUGGACAUAUCACAUCAUUUCCAGGAAGAGACCAACAAGAGAAGCAAGUAUUCAGGUAUUGGUUAUGGUAGCAAGAAAGAGAAUCUAGCAGCAUUCCUUGAAUCACAAUUUCCAGAAGAAUGAUUCAAGUCUUCAAGGGAUGCAGAGGACAUUGACAUUUGACCAGGCAGAUCAUGGCAAGUGGUUAAGCAGCAGUAUUCGAUCGAGGCAUGCUGAGAUUGUUUGUUAUGGCAGUAGGGCAGAGCAUCUAUCACUCCUGUCAUGUUAUUAAAGUUGACAAACUAUUUACAUCAUUUCUAGGAAGAGGUCCACAAGAGAAGCUUAGCAAGUAGUCAAGUGAUACUGAGAGCAUUGUUUAUGGCCUAAAGAUCGAGUCUUCACGGCAUGCAGAGAACAUUGACAAUGGGGAAGAGAAACCGUGGUCACUCACUGAAUCUUCUCCAGGAAUAGGACCUUGGUUUCUGUUCCAAGUAUUCAAGAGAUUCUGGAGCAGUGGUUAAUGGCAGCAGAGCAUCACUCCAUGCAUCACUUCCAGAAAAAGGACCAGGAGCAAGGUUUGGUUUAACCUUUUGUUGUUGUUGCCAGUGAAGUAUUGUUGAUGAAUCUGCAUUUAGGUUAAUGUGUGUUUUUUUUUUUAUGUUGUGGCUAUUAGAUAUUGUAUGUUUCCAACAUAUAUGUUUGAUGGUAAAGAGUAAAACUAAAAAGGUUUGAAAUUCAUUAUUUUUGUCAGUUGUGAAGCAGGAAUUCAAGAAAAACUAAUAUGCAGACUUUACAACAUAAUGUGUAAAUUAUGAUUUCUGACUUUUUCUGUUGCUUGAAAUUAUUUGUGUUUAUUACUGUAGAAAAAGUAUUUUUUGCAAGUUUCAAUAAGAAAUAAGAAGGGCGAAAUAUAAAGUAAGUUUAUAGCGAUGUAUAUUAGAUUAUUUUUGGCUGUAAGGUCAAAGUUGGUACCUGGUAGCAUUGCCUUUUUUGUCAAAUCCAAGCGGGUGUUUCAUAAAGCUGUUCAUACAAAGUUAAGAGCGACUCUAAGAAUGACUGGUGAACCUUUCUUAUGCGUUAAAAUAUCACCAAUUAACAUUUUUAAUGGUGAAUAUCAUUUACCACGAGAAAGGAUCACCCGUCGUUCUUAAAGUUCCUCUUACCAACAGCUUUAUGAAAUGGCUCCCUGGGUCCAUUCCAUCUCGCAAUGGGGUCUAUGUCCAUAUUUCAGUUGAAUUAAUCUCUGUGGCUGCUGCUCUUUAACAAAUAAUCAUCAAAAUAUAUGGGUGGCCUAAUUACCCGAUGCUGUUUCAAGUGGCAAUCGCUAAAUUGUUGCCUGCUAUUAAAUGUCAGUUUCUUUUUUCAGAAUAAAGUUAUUACAAGACUUGAUGCCCCAUCUCAAAAGAGAUUACAAUUGUACCAUAGUUCAAAACCAUGGACUAUGCAGGUAUGCGUACAUUAUUAUGAUUAUUUUAUCACAUCCACUAAGAAAAGUCCAAUUAUUUAUGCAAGUCCAUGGUUUUGUACUGUGGCAUGGCCACAUUGAAACCUCUUUAAAUAAUAUUGGCCUACAUUAAACAAAGUUCAGAUACUUGACUUUGAAGGUCUUUGCAAUGCAUACUCAACUCCACUUCUUUUUCUUUAUCCUGGUAAGAGUGGAGAGUCAUAAUAUAGAGAUAUGAUCUGCUUUGAGAGGCAUGGUUGUUUCUAGAGGCUCACUUGAGGUGACUGCAACGCGACUAUGCCCGAGGGCAUGGUCUGGCCGAUGCGGUACCCGCGAGCCGAAAGAAACAACCAUGUCUCGAUAUAAAAGCAGUCCAUAUACAUUUUAUGAACCGAAUUAAACAUUAAAUCUAGUCUAGAUCUAGGCCUAGAUCUUAAACAAGUUAUGGUCUAUUCCUAAAAGCCCUAGCCCAUGCUAACGUCAGGCUAAACUUGUUAUGUUAGGAGUGGGACCUGACUUAGGUCUCAAAUUUGAAUAUCAAAGCAGUCCAUACCGGUACGGUAGUGGUAGUAGGAACCAAAUUAGGGUCUGAUUGAAUGGAUCUACAGUAAGCCUAGCCUGAGUCUUAAAUCUCCAAUAGAGUCCAACUUUAGAUCUAACAUAGACCCCUACGUCAGAUCUAAGACUAAACGGAACAUUAGGUCUA